rnacentral:rRNA from 1 species
CAAGUCGAGCGAGACCUUCGGGUCUAGCGGCGGACGGGUGAGUAACGCGUGGGAACGUGCCCUUUGCUACGGAAUAGCCCCGGGAAACUGGGAGUAAUACCGUAUGUGCCCUUCGGGGGAAAGAUUUAUCGGCAAAGGAUCGGCCCGCGUUGGAUUAGGUAGUUGGUGGGGUAAUGGCCUACCAAGCCGACGAUCCAUAGCUGGUUUGAGAGGAUGAUCAGCCACACUGGGACUGAGACACGGCCCAGACUCCUACGGGAGGCAGCAGUGGGGAAUCUUAGACAAUGGGGGAAACCCUGAUCUAGCCAUGCCGCGUGAGCGAUGAAGGCCUUAGGGUUGUAAAGCUCUUUCAGGUGGGAAGAUAAUGACGGUACCACCAGAAGAAGCCCCGGCUAACUCCGUGCCAGCAGCCGCGGUAAUACGGAGGGGGCUAGCGUUGUUCGGAAUUACUGGGCGUAAAGCGCACG